rnacentral:rRNA from 1 species
GACGAACGCUGGCGGCGUGCCUAAUACAUGCAAGUAGAACGCACAGUUUAUACCGUAGCUUGCUACACCAUAAACUGUGAGUUGCGAACGGGUGAGUAACGCGUAGGUAACCUGCCUGGUAGCGGGGGAUAACUAUUGGAAACGAUAGCUAAUACCGCAUAAUAUUGAUUAUUGCAUGAUAAUUGAUUGAAAGUUGCUAUUGCAUCACUACCAGAUGGACCUGCGUUGUAUUAGCUAGUAGGUGAGGUAACGGCUCACCUAGGCGACGAUACAUAGCCGACCUGAGAGGGUGAUCGGCCACACUGGGACUGAGACACGGCCCAGACUCCUACGGGAGGCAGCAGUAGGGAAUCUUCGGCAAUGGACGAAAGUCUGACCGAGCAACGCCGCGUGAGUGAAGAAGGUUUUCGGAUCGUAAAGCUCUGUUGUAGGAGAAGAACGGGUGUGAGAGUGGAAAGUUCACACUGUGACGGUAUCUUACCAGAAAGGGACGGCUAACUACGUG